CCUUCGAUAGCUCAGUUGGUAGAGCGGAGGACUGUAGAUCCUUCGGUCGCUGGUUCAACUCCGGCUCGAAGGA
rnacentral:tRNA from 1 species